rnacentral:rRNA from 1 species
UAAUACGGGGGGAGCAAGCGUUGUUCGGAUUUACUGGGCGUAAAGGGCGCGUAGGCGGCGCAACAAGUCACUUGUGAAAUCUUCAGGCUUAACCUGAAGCGGCCAAGUGAUACUGUCGUGCUAGAGUGCGGAAGGGGCAACUGGAAUUCUUGGUGUAGCGGUGAAAUGCGUAGAUAUCAAGAGGAACACCUGCGGCGAAGGCGGGUUGCUGGGCCGACACUGACGCUGAGGCGCGAAAGCUAGGGGAGCGAACGGGAUUAGAUACCCCGGUAGUCCUAGCCUUAAACGAUGAAUGCUUGGUGUCCGAGGUUUGAUAGUCCUCGGGUGCCGUCGCUAACGCUUUAAGCAUUCCGCCUGGGGAGUACGGUCGCAAGACUG